UGUAGGGCUUGAUCUCACGAACCAUGAGAUCAAGACCUAAGCUGAAAUCAAAAAUUGGAUGCUUAGCCAACUGGGCCAUCCAGGCGCCCUUGCAAAUAUCCAUAUUAUUCCUCUUAAGUAUCGCUCACAGAGCUGGGCACACAAAGACACUUAAUAUAAAUAUAAGGAAUGAAUACUACUGCCUAAUUAACAUUUGAUCUCUCUGUUCCUACCCCAUUUGGCCACUUGGAAAGGAGUCAGAGGACACAUACUAGAAAUCCCCAUUUCUGCAAUGAAGGCCAACCAUAGGUCUUCCCAAGACAAUUCAGAUAUCUGUUUAUUUCAAUUUGCUCAUGUAUCUAUAGCUCUAAAGUAUGUGAGUUAAAAUUGAGCUUCUGUGGACAGAAAGAGAAAAGGCUAAGAACGAAGAAAGUCCCUGACCUUGUGUGGGACCUACUUAGAAGUAAAAAGUUUUGCCUUAUUGUUAUUUAGUUUCCCAAGUAUUUAUUUCCUCUUGAAAUGUGAGGUAUGGAGAGCCUCACUAACCCCUUUGCAAAGGUUUUGAUUCACCAAAUUUAAAAUAACUGCUACCUAAACAGACCGCUACACAACGAUGUAUACCAUG